GGCGCGCCGCCUGCGCCGCGCCUGCCCCGCCGCCGCCGCCGCCGCGCUGCCGUGGGCGCUGCGCCUCGAGGCGGAGGCGCGCGCGCCGGCGCCGCGCCUCGAGCACGUCGCGCACGCCGCCAUGGACGCCCUGCCCGCCCACAAGUGGCUGACGGUGCGGAGCGCGGCGCUGGGCGCGGCGGGCGGCGGCGGCGCGCUGCCCGACGUGCUGCUGGAGCGCGGCCUGCGCCUGCACGCGCUGCCCGACGAGCUGCGCGCGCUGCGGGCCCCGGCCCGGGCCCCCGUCGAGUAGCGGCCGCGCCGGCCCACUGGGCGCGGCCUGCGCCUGCACGCGCUGCCCGACGAGCUGCGCGCGCUGCGGGCCCCGGCCCGGGCCCCCGUCGAGUAGCGGCCGCGCCGGCCCACUGGGCGCCAGUUACAAGUGUUACAACCGACCUACCGUCGACCAUUCUUAACUUAAACUUAUGAAUAGGUCAAAUAAUAAACUAUUUACGAAUCUU